rnacentral:lncRNA from 12 species
CAGGGCUGACUAUUAGUUUUGUUGAUUCUUUUUCUUCNNNNNNNNNNCAUGCAACCCUCUCCCUGGCGAGGGGAGCGCGGGUGCGAGCCGCGGAAGCCAGCCCGCGCUGCAGGGAGCCCGCGGGCGAAGGAGGCUCUCCCGCUCCGAGCCUACCUCCGGGCGGUCACCACGCGCCGGGCCCCGCCCCGAGAGCGUGUCACCGCGGGUGACGGCCCGGCGGCCAAUCAGCGGGCGUCCUCGCCCGGCGCGCGGGCCAAUCGGGGAGCUCCUCUCAGGGUGGAGGCGGGAGCAAUGUUUUCGGAGAGGAGGGAGGACGGCGGGCCUGCAGGUCGGGGCGGACGGUCCUCCCCCCACCCCCGGAGGCUGCGGGGCGGCGGGGCUGCGGGCUGCGGGCUGCGGUCGCGAGCAACCGGCCCGGGGGGAGGGCGGGUGGGGUGCGCAGAGGGUGGGCGCCGUGAGCGAGCGAGCAGGCGGGCGGGGGCCGCUCGGGGCUGGGAGCCAUCGCCCUCUCCCCGCAGAGGGGCUCCCCUGGGGCCCGGUGGGCGCUCCGGCGGGGGGCACACCUGGCCUCGCCCCGACUCGGCUGCCCGGCCGGAGGGAGCGGACCGGACCGCCUUCCCGAAGCUCGUGCCCCCUCCGCAGAGGAAAAACACCAGGAGGCGUUUCAGCCCGGAUACAGAGGAAAAAAAAGAAAAGACCUCUUUCUUCCCUUGUGAAGUUGGAAUCCUGCAACCCUGA